rnacentral:rRNA from 1 species
GUAAAAAGUAGAAUAAUAGAUUUGAAAUAUUUAUUAUAUAGAUUUAAAGAGAUAAUCAUGGAGUAUAAUAAUUAAAUUUAAUAAAUUUAAUAUAACUAUUAAUAGAAUUAGGUUACUAAUAAAUUAAUAACAAUUAAUUUUAAAACCUAAAGGUAAACCUUUAUAUUAAUAAUGUUUUUUUUUAUUAUUUUUAUAAUAAGAAUAAUUAUUAAUAAUAAUAAACUAAGUGAACUGAAACAUCUAAGUAACUUAAGGAUAAGAAAUCAACAGAGAUAUUAUGAGUAUUGGUGAGAGAAAAUAAUAAAGGUCUAAUAAGUAUUAUGUGAAAAAAAUGUAAGAAAAUAGGAUAACAAAUUCUAAGACUAAAUACUAUUAAUAAGUAUAGUAAGUACCGUAAGGGAAAGUAUGAAAAUGAUUAUUUUAUAAGCAAUCAUGAAUAUAUUAUAUUAUAUUAAUGAUGUACCUUUUGUAUAAUGGGUCAGCAAGUAAUUAAUAUUAGUAAAACAAUAAGUUAUAAAUAAAUAGAAUAAUAUAUAUAUAUAAAAAAAUAUAUUAAAAUAUUUAAUUAAUAUUAAUUGACCCGAAAGCAAACGAUCUAACUAUGAUAAGAUGGAUAAACGAUCGAACAGGUUGAUGUUGCAAUAUCAUCUGAUUAAUUGUGGUUAGUAGUGAAAGACAAAUCUGGUUUGCAGAUAGCUGGUUUUCUAUGAAAUAUAUGUAAGUAUAGCCUUUAUAAAUAAUAAUUAUUAUAUAAUAUUAUAUUAAUAUUAUAUAAAGAAUGGUACAGCAAUUAAUAUAUAUUAGGGAACUAUUAAAGUUUUAUUAAUAAUAUUAAAUCUCGAAAUAUUUAAUUAUAUAUAAUAAAGAGUCAGAUUAUGUGCGAUAAGGUAAAUAAUCUAAAGGGAAACAGCCCAGAUUAAGAUAUAAAGUUCCUAAUAAAUAAUAAGUGAAAUAAAUAUUAAAAUAUUAUAAUAUAAUCAGUUAAUGGGUUUGACAAUAACCAUUUUUUAAUGAACAUGUAACAAUGCACUGAUUUAUAAUAAAUAAAAAAAAAAUAAUAUUUAAAAUCAAAUAUAUAUAUAUAUAUUUGUUAAUAGAUAAUAUACGGAUCUUAAUAAUAAGAAUUAUUUAAUUCCUAAUAUGGAAUAUUAUAUUUUUAUAAUAAAAAUAUAAAUACUGAAUAUCUAAAUAUUAUUAUUACUUUUUUUUUUAAUAAUAAUAAUAUGGUAAUAGAACAUUUAAUGAUAAUAUAUAUUAGUUAUUAAUUAAUAUAUGUAUUAAUUAAAUAGAGAAUGCUGACAUGAGUAACGAAAAAAAGGUAUAAACCUUUUCACCUAAAACAUAAGGUUUAACUAUAAAAGUACGGCCCCUAAUUAAAUUAAUAAGAAUAUAAAUAUAUUUAAGAUGGGAUAAUCUAUAUUAAUAAAAAUUUUAUCUUAAAAUAUAUAUAUUAUUAAUAAUUAUAUUAAUAAUAUAUAUAAUUAUAUUAUAUAUUUUUUUUAUAUAAUAUAAACUAAUAAAGAUCAGGAAAUAAUUAAUGUAUACCGUAAUGUAGACCGACUCAGGUAUGUAAGUAGAGAAUAUGAAGGUGAAUUAGAUAAUUAAAGGGAAGGAACUCGGCAAAGAUAGCUCAUAAGUUAGUCAAUAAAGAGUAAUAAGAACAAAGUUGUACAACUGUUUACUAAAAACACCGCACUUUGCAGAAACGAUAAGUUUAAGUAUAAGGUGUGAACUCUGCUCCAUGCUUAAUAUAUAAAUAAAAUUAUUUAACGAUAAUUUAAUUAAAUUUAGGUAAAUAGCAGCCUUAUUAUGAGGGUUAUAAUGUAGCGAAAUUCCUUGGCCUAUAAUUGAGGUCCCGCAUGAAUGACGUAAUGAUACAACAACUGUCUCCCCUUUAAGCUAAGUGAAAUUGAAAUCGUAGUGAAGAUGCUAUGUACCUUCAGCAAGACGGAAAGACCCUAUGCAGCUUUACUGUAAUUAGAUAGAUCGAAUUAUUGUUUAUUAUAUUCAGCAUAUUAAGUAAUCCUAUUAUUAGGUAAUCGUUUAGAUAUUAAUGAGAUACUUAUUAUAAUAUAAUGAUAAUUCUAAUCUUAUAAAUAAUUAUUAUUAUUAUUAAUAAUAAUAAUAAUAUGCUUUCAAGCAUAGUGAUAAAACAUAUUUAUAUGAUAAUCACUUUACUUAAUAGAUAUAAUUCUUAAGUAAUAUAUAAUAUAUAUUAUAUAUAUAUUAUAUAUAAUAUAAGAGACAAUCUCUAAUUGGUAGUUUUGAUGGGGCGUCAUUAUCAGCAAAAGUAUCUGAAUAAGUCCAUAAAUAAAUAUAUAAAAUUAUUGAAUAAAAAAAAUAAUAUAUAUUAUAUAUAUUAAUUAUAAAUUGAAAUAUGUUUAUAUAAAUUUAUAUUUAUUGAAUAUAUUUUAGUAAUAGAUAAAAAUAUGUACAGUAAAAUUGUAAGGAAAACAAUAAUAACUUUCUUAAAAAAUAAAAAUGGAAAGAAUUAAAUUAAUAUAAUGGUAUAACUGUGCGAUAAUUGUAACACAAACGAGUGAAACAAGUACGUAAGUAUGGCAUAAUGAACAAAUAACACUGAUUGUAAAGGUUAUUGAUAACGAAUAAAAGUUACGCUAGGGAUAACAGGGUAAUAUAACGAAAGAGUAGAUAUUGUAAGUUAUGUUUGCCACCUCGAUGUCGACUCAACAUUUCCUCUUGGUUGUAAAAGCUAAGAAGGGUUUGACUGUUCGUCAAUUAAAAUGUUACGUGAGUUGGGUUAAAUACGAUGUGAAUCAGUAUGGUUCCUAUCUGCUGAAGGAAAUAUUAUCAAAUUAAAUCUCAUUAUUAGUACGCAAGGACCAUAAUGAAUCAACCCAUGGUGUAUCUAUUGAUAAUAAUAUAAUAUAUUUAAUAAAAAUAAUACUUUAUUAAUAUAUUAUCUAUAUUAGUUUAUAUUUUAAUUAUAUAUUAUCAUAGUAGAUAAGCUAAGUUGAUAAUAAAUAAAUAUUGAAUACAUAUUAAAUAUGAAGUUGUUUUAAUAAGAUAAUUAAUCUGAUAAUUUUAUACUAAAAUUAAUAAUUAUAGGUUUUAUAUAUUAUUUAUAAAUAAAUAUAUUAUAAUAAUAAUAAUUAUUAUUAUUAAUAAAAAAUAUUAAUUAUAAUAUUAAUAAAAUACUAAUUUAUCAGUUAUCUAUAUAAUAUCUAAUCUAUUAUUCUAUAUACU